rnacentral:lncRNA from 1 species
GGUUAUAGAUACUGGUCAAACAGCCGCCCAGGUUUCACCAGCUUGUGGAGUACGUUUCUUUAUUGAAUUUCCAUUGUGUUCUGGAUGAAAAGAGGAUGAUCUUGCUGGGAAAUCGCUUGAGGGUGUGUUUGCUGUGUUCAGUUUUGGUGCUUGCUGUGAAGUGUUGUGGAGGAACUAAAGAUGACUGUCAAGUCUCUCCAGAAGACAAACCUCCACUGGGGAUCAGAGACGUCAGUCCAGUUCCUCAGAGUGAAGCCUUCUUCCAAAAAGGGAGUUACCUAAAACCUAAGCUGAUUGAUUUUGCUAGUAUUUAUCACACACACAAAGCCAGGUGGUCCAGCAGCCAGACUGGUUCUGCAGAAACAAGGAAUACUGUGUACAAAGAAGCAAUGAACCAGAUUAACCAGCCCAGUACUGCUAAUUUCAACAUUACUAAAGCAGAGGUUUUUGGUGUCAAACAAGACAGAAAAAUGUUAACCUUACCGUUUGAAGGUUUUGCUAUGACCCCUGGUCAGUUUUCUCCCUCAGAGGUUGGCCAAAUAAGCAAAGUCAGUGUCUCUCCACUGCAGGCAGAACUGAGCACUCCUCCCCUGCUGCAGAGUGAGCCUAGCAUGCUAAGUAAUGCUAACAUUCUGCUCCAGCACACAGUAAUGGACAGCAGGAGUCCUAAAAAUUACAAAUUACAACAAAAUAAUCAUGUUUAUUCACAGAUAGAGCCCUCUCCACACACAUACACAAGUGAAGAUUAUUCAAAAGAAGCUCAAAUUGACUUCCAAGGCUUUGCCAGAGCCCAGGAGGACACUGGUGUUUCUGGUGCAGCGAACGUAGGAUAUGCUCGUUCAACCUUACGGUUUCUAAAGCCCCAAACCAAACCAGUGACUCAGGAUUCCAGGAGCACUGAUGAUCUCAGUAAAUCUGAACCCUCUGCCAGCACUAGUGAGACUACUGAGGACAUUAAACCUGCAGCGAGCCAUUUCAGAUCACAGCAAGCAUGGGAAGCUUCAGCUCAUCGUCAGCAGUCUGGAAAGAUACAGCAUGGCAGUGGGCCUCUGCCACUCCCAAAGUACAGUGGAAUGUCCCAUACCACUACCCAUCCUGGCAAAUGGAAGAAACCUGGUUUGAGUAUGAAUGUACAGCUCAACACGCUCAGCUCUAACCAAGCCACGAGAAGUUUAAACCACAGUGCCACAGGAAAGUUUAAACCUUUUCAAAUUAAGGGGCCAUGAGAAGACCCUUUCCCCGGUAAAUGUUUCUCCCUUUACUACAAAUGUUUUCAGUCAGUAAAGUGUGAUUAUUUUGCUUUACACUGAAUCUAUUGUGCUAAUGUAGAUAAAU